rnacentral:lncRNA from 1 species
GACGUAAUCGUCCGAGGUGGUUUCAAUAGGCUUUUCCAUUAUUGUGACGUCGCCGAAGACCCAUCUGCUGGCCACGGCCCGCUAGCUCCAGCUCGCCUAGCGUAGUAGCGACUACUGAACGGCUCCCUGACUCACCUAUUGCUUCUCAUUGGACCCUAUGAUCACUCGGCUACACAUGCCUCUACCUAAUAACCCAGAAGCAGACCAGGACAAGGUGAGUAAAAUAAAGGUGAGUAUUUAUUGGUAGUCUUGAUGUGUAAUUUGAGUGAUCCAGGAGACGGAGCGGCAGCGGAGGUGAGUUGAUGAGAGUAAAUGGGUUGAUCCAAUGAAGUCACUGUAUCCACCGACAGCCAGGCAAGAGAGUUGAAUGUUCCGGGAGAAUGACUGUAGACAGAGUAAACGGGAGGAAUGGAUGUCAGCUCAGGGUUUAAGAAGAGGUGAAGAUCAGGACCAGGUGUGCAGAAGUUUGAUGAGAUGCAGGGUUAUGCUCCAGACAACAGCGUCAUUCAGGAGGCUCAGAGACUCUCCAAACAGCAUGGGACCCAGUUGCUCCUGACCUCUGACCCAGUGGAGGCAGCUCGGGGCAGUAACGUCCUGGUGACAGACACCUGGGUCAGCUUGGGCCAGGAGGAGAAGAAACAGAGGAUCAAGGACUUCCAUGGCUACCACAUCACCAUGCAGUUACAUACAACACUAGACUCACUACAGGAACAAGAUCAUCCACAUGUAUAGAUCACAUUUUUACUAAUACUGUAGAACUUUGUUCUAAAGCUGUAUCCGUACCCAUUGGACGUAAUGAUCACAAUAUAGUGGUAAUAUCCAGGAAUGCCAAAAUUCCAACAGCUGGGCCUAAAAUAGCAUGUAAGAGAUCAUACAAAAGACUUUGCUGUGAUUUUUAUGUGGAUGAUGUUACAAAUAUUUGUUGGUCUGAUGUGAUUAAUGAGGAGCAUCCAGACGCUGCACUUAUGAAAUUGCAUCUUCCAAUUAUUGAUGCCAUGCACCUGUUAAGAAACUGACUGUUACGAACUGUUAAGGCUCCAUUGAUUGAUGAGGAAUUGAAAAACUGUAUGGUUGAAAGAGAUGGAGCAAAAGGAGUGGCUAAUAAGUCUGGUUACACAUCUGACUUACUGCAAAUUGAGACAUCAUGUGGCUAAACUCAUUAAAAAGAAGAAGAAACUGUUAUGAAGCCAAGAUAAAUGAUAAAAAGAAUGAUAGGAAAAAACUUGAGUACUUUAAAUGAAAUUAUGGGCAGAAAGACAUAUUCAACUCCAUCUUUCAUUGAAUCAGAUGGCUUAUUCAUCACAAAACCAUUUGAUGUUGACAAUUAUUUUAAUGAUUACUUCUUUGGCAAAGUGGGAAAACUUAGGCAGGAAAUACCAACAGCGAACAGUGAGCCAUCGUAUUCAAGCAUAAAAAAAACUAAUAAUGAAAGAAAAGCAUUGCAAGUUUGAAUUUUGUAAAGUUAGUGUGGGAGUGGUGGAAAAAUUGUUAUUGAUACAUAAUGACAAACCUCCUGGCAUUGACAACUUUGAUGGAAAACCCUAACCCUAACCCUAUAGCCACUUCUAUCUGUCAUAUCUUUCAUCUGAGCCUAGAGGAAAGUCUUUGUCCUUAGGCCUGGAGGGAAGCCAAAGUAAUUCCACUACCCAAGAGUGGUAAACCGGCCUUUACUGGUUCUAACAGCAGACCUAUAAGUCUGCUGCCAGCUCUUAGUGUCACGUCCUGACCAGUAAUAGGGGUUAUUUGUUAUUGUAGUUUGGUCAGGACGUGGCAGAGGGUAUUUGUUUGUGGUUCGGGGUGGUGGUUUGUUUAGUAGGGUAUUUGAUUUAUGUAUUCCGGGGGUUUUUGGGCACUGUUCUAUGUUAGUGUAUUUCUAUGUUCUGUCUAGUCUUUUGUAUUUCUAUGUUUUGUUAAUUGGGGUUGGACUCUCAAUCGGAGGCAGGUGUUUUCUAGUUGCCUCUGAUUGAGAGUCCUUUAUAUAUAGGUAUGUGUUUGUUGAGUACUUUGUGGGAGAUUGUUCUGUGUAUAGCCUUGUGCCUUACCAGCCUGUGAUUAGUCGUUGUGGUUUCUUUGUGUACGUGUUUGUUUUGGUUCGCCAUCUUGUCCGUUUAUAAUAAAGAAGAUGAGUGCACAUUUCCCCGCUGCAUUGUGGUCUAUAUCCGACGACAACCGUUACAGAAUCUCCCACCACAAAAAGACCAAGCAGCGGAGUAAGGAGCAAAGGGAAUUUGAUAUGGACCUGGGAGGAAAUUCUGGACGGGGCUGGACCUUGGCACCAGGCUGGGGAAUACCGUCGCCCACGGGAGGAAAUCGAGGCAGCCAAGGCGGAGAGGCGGAGGUACGAGGCCUUGUACGCGCUGAGGGAGAAGCACGAGAGGCACCCCCAAUAAUUUCUUUGGGGAGGGGCACACGGGUAGUUUGACUGGGCCAAGGAUGAGCCAUAAGCCAGCUACCUGUGUUUAUAUGGAGGACCGUAUGGAAUGGAUGGCGCCGAGUUUUGAAGAAGUGCGCACGAUCUCACCCAUACGCACGCACAGUCCAGUGCGAGUUAUUAGCCCCUCGCAGAUGCCGUGCUAGAGUGGGCAUCCAGCCUGGUAGGAGGAUGCCUGCGCAGCGCGUCUGGUCACCGGUGCGCCUCCUAGGACCAGGCUACCCUACGCCCGCUCUACGCACGGCAACCAUCAGGCCCCUGCACAGCCCAGUUCGCCCUGUACUAGCACCCCGCUCGUACAGGGCUACUAGUUCCGUCCUGGCUGGAUGGGUUGUGCAGGAGGUGUGAUCAAGACCGCCUGUGCGCCUCCAUGGCCCAUAUUUCCAGUUUCUGCCUCUCGUGCUGACCCGGAAAUGCGAACUCCUAGUCUGGCACGUCCAGUACCAGCACCACGCAUCAAGCUUCCAGAGAAUCAGCCUAGUCCUACUCAGCCUGUUCCCGCUCCUCGCACUAGCCAUGAGGUGCGUGUUCCCAAACUGGCACUUCCAGC